rnacentral:misc_RNA from 1 species
UUUACAUUCCACACCCUUAUCGGUUCAGGAUAACAAUUAUCCUUCUAUGCCUAAGGACUUCUAAGUAUGAAGCUUAUAAUCUUUUAUUAUUAUCAUUUUUCAUUACUUUUCACUAUAACCAGAUCUGAAAUAAGAUUUCAGCAAACCAAUCUCAAUCAAUUCCACUCCAAAAUCGGCCAUAAACCUACUAUAACAUAUGAGACUAGUUUCAUAUAUAUUCAUUCCUAUCUAAGAAUCAGUCCACCAUAUAGCUGUUCCAUGUCAUGUAAUAAAGCAAAUAACAUAUGUUUCAUUGCAUAAAUUGGCAAAAAUAUUUAAAAAGUUCAUAUAUCUUCUAUUUUCAGGAUGAAACAACACACUACACUAUACUCACCCAGCAUUUUACAACCCACUUUAUCCCACUUGACAGAAAUGAAAAAGGAAAAAAGGAAUAAAAAAGAGAGAGAGAGAGAGAGA